AUGCAGGGGCCAAAAGGGCUGUGGAAUGCGUGCCUUCCGCUCAAGAUCAAGGUGUUCUUCUGGCAGCUGUUCAGGAAUAGACUACCCACCUCUGAAAAUGUGGCCAAACGACAAGGCCCGGCAACCGGCACAUGUGCGAUUUGUAACGUUGCCGAGGACGCAAACCACGUUUUCUUUCGGUGCUCGUUGGCCCGUUUUGCUUGGAGCACGGUCUGGACCGCGGUUGACGUUUCCUGGGACCCUCGAUCAGCUAAUGUUCCUACGUCCAUCCUCGACUCCGUCCAGGGGAGUAACAAGCACUACAAAAAAAUACACUUUCGUGAUGAUACGUGUUUGUCACAGUAG
rnacentral:rRNA from 1 species